UAGCUAGUUGGUGAGGUAACGGCUUACCAAGGCGACGAUCUGUAGCGGGUCUGAGAGGAUGAUCCGCCACACUGGAACUGAGACACGGUCCAGACUCCUACGGGAGGCAGCAGUGGGGAAUUUUGGACAAUGGGGGCAACCCUGAUCCAGCCAUGCCGCGUGAGUGAAGAAGGCCUUCGGGUUGUAAAGCUCUUUCGGCCGGGAAGAAAUCGCAUGGGCCAAUACCCUGUGUGGAUGACGGUACCGGAAUAAGAAGCACCGGCUAACUACGUGCCAGCAGCCGCGGUAAUACGUAGGGUGCGAGCGUUAAUCGGAAUUACUGGGCGUAAAGCGUGCGCAGGCGGUUUUGUAAGACAGGCGUGAACUCCCCGGGCUCAACCUGGGAACUGCGUUUGUGACUGCAAGGCUAGAGUACGGCAGAGGGGGGUGGAAUUCCACGUGUAGCAGUGAAAUGCGUAGAGAUGUGGAGGAACACCAAUGGCGAAGGCAGCCCCCUGGGUCGAUACUGACGCUCAUGCACGAAAGCGUGGGUAGCAAACAGGAUUAGAUACCCUGGUAGUCCACGCCCUAAACUAUGUCAACUAGGUGUUGGGUGGGUAAAACCAUUUAGUACCGUAGCUAACGCGUGAAGUUGACCGCCUGGGGAGUACGGCCGCAAGGUUAAAACUCAAAGGAAUUGACGGGGACCCGCACAAGCGGUGGAUGAUGUGGAUUAAUUCGAUGCAACGCGAAAAACCUUACCUACCCUUGACAUGCCAGGAACUUGCCAGAGAUGGCUUGGUGCCCGAAAGGGAGCCUGGACACAGGUGCUGCAUGGCUGUCGUCAGCUCGUGUCGUGAGAUGUUGGGUUAUGUCCCGCAACGAGCGCAACCCUUGUCGUUAAUUGCCAUCAUUUAGUUGGGCACUUUAGCGAGACUGCCGGUGACAAACCGGAGGAAGGUGGGGAUGACGUCAAGUCCUCAUGGCCCUUAUGGGUAGGGCUUCACACGUCAUACAAUGGUCGGUACAAAGGGUCGCCAAGCCGCGAGGUGGAGCCAAUCCCAGAAAGCCGUUCGUAGUCCGGAUUGCAGGCUGCAACUCGCCUGCAUGAAGUCGGAAUCGCUAGUAAUCGUGGAUCAGCAUGUCACGGUGAAUACGUCCCCGGGUCUUGUACACACCGCCCGUCACACCAUGGGAGCGGGUUCCGCCAGAAGUAGGUAGCCUAACCGCAGGGAGGGCGCUUACCACGGCGGGGUUCGUGACUGGGGUGAAGUCGUAACAAGGUAGCCGUAGGGGAACCUGCGGCUG
rnacentral:rRNA from 1 species